rnacentral:rRNA from 1 species
UACGUAGGGUGCAAGCGUUGUCCGGAAUUAUUGGGCGUAAAGAGCCUCGUAGGCGGUUUGUCGCGUCGUUUGUGAAAACCCGGGGCUCAACUUCGGGCUUGCAGGCGAUACGGGCAGACUUGAGUGUUUCAGGGGAGACUGGAAUUCCUGGUGUAGCGGUGAAAUGCGCAGAUAUCAGGAGGAACACCGGUGGCGAAGGCGGGUCUCUGGGCCGAUACUGACGCUGAGGAGCGAAAGCGUGGGGAGCGAACAGG